UUGAGGAGAGCAACAUGGAGUUGUUAAAAAUAAAGGAAUAGUAGAAGGCGUACUGAAAAUUUGCAAGGGACAAAUAUAAAUAACACAAGCCAUUGUACAUCUUUCAUAAAAAUAAGAGUACUAAACAGAUCUCAAACCCCUUUUAACCAAUAAAUUUAUGUUUUUCAUUAAUAAACAAGUUUGUUGUUGUUGUUUCUUUCAUAUUUACAAAAUUGUAAUUUUAACAGUGAACAAAUGAAUCAUAAGCAUCAUCAAAAACAAAGUUGAUCAUCAGGAAAGCAACUUACAACUUGAAUGCAAAGGUUGAGAAAAGAAUCAAAGGACUUGUACUUAACCUUCAGAUAUCUCAACUAGUAAGAUUUGAGCCAAAUAAAUUUCAUUGUUCACUAUUCUUUCUUAUUUAGUGUAUCCAUGCAUUUUUAUUUUAUCUGAUUUGAACUAUUUCCGAUUAAAUUUUUCUUGAUUGAUUAACACAUACUGAGGUAGUUGUUUAUUUAUAACUUUGAGCCAUUUUAAACCGCCAUGUAGUAAUAGGUAUAUAUGUUGCUAACCACUUUGAGUUUAGUCUUUCUUUCGGUGACUUAGCCUUAAUUUUUAGCCGUAUAACUUUAAAGAUCUUAUCUUUCCACCCUCUCUUUGGAGUUAAAUAGAAUUUAAGUUCUUAAGUGGUAUGAAAAAUAUUAAGUUUGGGGUUGCUCUUGGAAGUGAUCGAAGUUUUAAGUUUAAGGUUGGGGUACUAGAGAAAGACACUUCUUAAAAAAAAGUAAAAGAAUUCCAAGCAUAAUAAGGACCACAAUAGAAAAGUCUAUAGUACCAUCAAAAAGGAACAAAUGGGUAUGAUGAUAGAAAGACAACUAUGCACCUAACUCCAAAGGUUUAAGCCUAUUUUUCCAAAAAUAUCCUACCUGAACAUAAGCUAAGAUACAACCUAAAAAAUCCUUAAAUGUGUGUGUUUUGAUUUCUUUGAUGAAUUAUAUUAGGACAUGAUCAAGCUAAACAUGAACAGUUUUACAUGUUGAUUGAGAGAUAACCUUAUCCAUUUAGUGAGUCAAAGUGAGAUGAGAGACAGGUUGAGUACUCGUCAAAGUUUGAGGACGUUUUCCAAAUUUACCGGAUAAAAGUUGAAAGCUAGAACGAUUUAUGAUGAUGUUCAAUUGUUAUUAUGCGACUUGUUUUCUGUUGAAAUGUGUAGUUGCAGGCAAGUUACUUGAGGAUAAUCAACAAUUCAAGUUUAGGGUUGUGAUGACAGUCCGUUAUUGCAUGAAAUUGGCCGAAGAAACAGAUCAAAACAAGUUAAAGAGGAGCAAAAUUGAAGAAGAAAGACAAAAGAAUUGGGAAAAAAUAGUUAAGUUUGAAAAAAUUGGACUUAGUGAAAAAACAUGUGAAAAAUAAGCAAAAGCGUGCAACCAUUAGAAUAAUCACGCGUGUAACACUCUUCUAAACCUCACAUACAUGUACUGCUAUGUAUCAGAUAUUUUAAUUAAAAUAAUAACCACGAGAGUGUCACACACAUCACAAACAUGUACUGCUCCAUAACACGAGUUACAUCAAAUCACAUUAAACUUAUCAUCGCAUGCUCACUUCUAUUCUAAAGUAUCAUCGCGGCAGAAAUAUCAUCACAAUUAUGGAAG
rnacentral:lncRNA from 1 species